AGGCCGAAGUGGUGGGCUGCUGCCCUCACAAGCAUUGUGAGGGCAGCGGUUCUAGCCCCCACAAAAGCAUUGUGGGGGCUAAAUGUUCUUUAUACUUCCAAAAAAAUCAUUCUCUCUUGCGAAAUGCGAGUGGAGUAUGGACAUCCCUCUCCUGUGAGGGGUUAUUUGUUUGGGUAUGUACUUCAUAGAAUUCAAUGUCAUAAUAUAAGUCCCAAUUAUGUAUAUCUGAUUGUAAAUAUCAGUAUAAUAUCUCUGCUACAAUAGCAGUUGUUGUAAAUAUCUGUGUAAUGCAGUAAUCUGAUGAUUAAUCAGUAUUCAAAAAAAAAAAAAUAGAGCCAUGUCAAUAUCAG
rnacentral:lncRNA from 1 species